ACGGAGGGUCCGAGCGUUAUCCGGAAUCAUUGGGUUUAAAGGGUCCGCAGGCGGUCUUUUAAGUCAGAGGUGAAAUCCUACAGCUCAACUGUAGAACGGCCUUUGAUACUGAAAGACUUGAGUUAUUAUGAAGUGGUUAGAAUGUGUGGUGUAGCGGUGAAAUGCAUAGAUAUCACACAGAAUACCGAUUGCGAAGGCAGAUCACUAAUAAUAUACUGACGCUCAUGGACGAAAGCGUGGGGAGCGAACAGG
rnacentral:rRNA from 1 species